rnacentral:rRNA from 2 species
AAAUUGAAGAGUUUGAUCAUGGCUCAGAUUGAACGCUGGCGGCAGGCCUAACACAUGCAAGUCGAACGGUAACAGGAAACAGCUUGCUGUUUCGCUGACGAGUGGCGGACGGGUGAGUAAUGUCUGGGAAACUGCCUGAUGGAGGGGGAUAACUACUGGAAACGGUAGCUAAUACCGC